rnacentral:rRNA from 1 species
UGUAAGCGUAUACCAAAGUUGUUGCAGUUAAAACGCUCGUAGUCGGAAUUUGGCAGUUCCGGAAGUGUGCACGUCGUGUGCGCACUUUGCGGGGACUGCUUUUGUGGUCUUGCGUAGGAUGAGGCACUUUCAUUAGUGAACGUCCUCACGCAACCACUCUUUACUGUGAGAAAAUCAGAUUGCUCAAAGCAGGCAUUUGCCGUGAAUGUAUUAGCAUGGAAUAAUAGAAUAGGACUCGGUUCUAUUUUGUUGGUUUGUUGGGACUGAGUAAUGAUUAAGAGGGACAGUUGGGGGCAUUUGUAUUCCGGCGCUAGAGGUGAAAUUCUUAGAUUGCCGGAAGACAAACUGCUGCGAAAGCGUCUGCCAAGGAUGUUUUCAUUGA